UACGUAGGGGGCAAGCGUUGUCCGGAUUUAUUGGGCGUAAAGAGCGUGUAGGCGGCCAGACAGGUCCGUUGUGAAAACUCGAGGCUCAACCUCGAGACGCCGAUGGAAACCGUCUGGCUAGAGUCCGGAAGAGGAGAGUGGAAUUCCUGGUGUAGCGGUGAAAUGCGCAGAUAUCAGGAAGAACACCCGUGGCUAAGGCGGCUCUCUAGUACGGUACUGACGCUGAGACGCGAAAGCGUGGGGAGCGAACGGG
rnacentral:rRNA from 1 species